AGAAGGAACUAAAUAUCUGUUAAGCACCUAACAUGUGCCAGGCACUGGCUUGAACACUUUACAAAUAAUUUCAUUUGAUCCUCACAACAUCUCUGCAAGAUAGGGGCUUUAUCCCUCAUUUUACAUUUGAGGAAACCAAGGCAGACAGCAACAAAUUCUCUUCCCAGGAGCACACAGCUAAUAAGUGUAUGUGACCACAUUUGAACUCGGGUCUUCCAGCCUCAAGGCCUAGUAUUCUAUCUACUAUACCAUUUAUCUUGCCUCUGAUGAACAAACACAUAUAAAUGACAUUUCAAAUCCAGAAGCACUAUUUAGUGCUGUCAUAAUAAUAAUUAUUAUUAUAGAUGUUGAAGUAAGGUCAAGUCAGCAGUUGAUUAAUAGAGUUGUUGUUUUUUUAAUUGUUGUAGGUGGUAUCAGAGGAUCUAAACUUCACAGAAUAAGGAAUCUCAAGUGCUAUAAGAUGCUCAUCCAGACUCCUCUUGACCCCAAUGUCCUCAAAGCUGACUCUGAAACAUUUGAAGGAUAAGAGAACAGAAAAAUCACAAGUAUAACACAGGCAUCUCACCAAGAUAAACAGGAAGAUGUCCUUUGAGUUCUGGGAAAAGCAACUAAAAAUCUGAACCACAUUACAGCUAUGAUAUUGGGAUCCACAUGAACACCCACACAUGUAUGCCACUGAAAACUGCACCUGCUGAUCUAUAAACUCAGGGCUCUGUCAGUCAUCCAUAGUCUGGAUAUUUCUACAUGUAUGCAAAAUUGCAUUAAGUUCAUUGUAAAGCUAUUUAUUAUAUUACUUCCUGGUGAAAACAUAGAGAAAAGAUAAUGACAUAAAUUGGAAGGCUUUCUAAAUAUUAAAAAAAAUAAUUCUUGGCCCU